UUCACCUAUUGAAGGAAGACCUUUAGUGGAUGCUAGAGACCUCGUUGGAGGAGGAAUCUGAAAGUGGAUGUAGGUCACGUUGACCGAACCACUCUAAAUCUAGUUUACAAUUUGUUUUGAGCAAUCUUCUUUAACUACAAAUCAUUUCAUAGCAAAGUGCUUCUUCUCCUCAUCUUGCUUUCACUACACUUACGCUCUCUUACAUUUUAAAGUUACUAUCUUU
rnacentral:lncRNA from 1 species